GGCUUCAUGGCCGAGUGGCUAGCGCUCGGUACCACAGGUUUCGGGUUUGAGUCCCGAUGAUGCCA